rnacentral:rRNA from 1 species
UACGUAGGGCGCAAGCGUUUGUCCGGAAUUAUUGGGCGUAAAGAGCACGUAGGCGGUUUGUCGCGUCUGCUGUGAAAACUGGGGGCUCAACCCCCAGCCUGCAGUGGGUACGGGCAGACUAGAGUGCGGUAGGGGAGAUUGGAAUUCCUGGUGUAGCGGUGGAAUGCGCAGAUAUCAGGAGGAACACCGAUGGCGAAGGCAGAUCUCUGGGCCGUAACUGACGCUGAGGAGCGAAAGCAUGGGGAGCGAACAGG